rnacentral:rRNA from 1 species
AUUGAACGCUGGCGGCAGGCCUAACACAUGCAAGUCGAACGAGUGGCGGACGGGUGAGUAAUGGCUGGGAAACUGCCUGAGGGAGGGGGAUAACUACUGGAAACGGUAGCUAAUACCGCAUACCAUCGGAUGUGCCCAGAUGGGCUUAGCUAGUAGGUGGGGUAAAGGCUCACAUAGGCGACGAUCCCUAGCGGGUCUGAGAGGAUGACCAGCCACACUGGAACUGAGAAACGGUCCAGACGCCUCCGUGAGGCAGGAGUGGGGAAUAGUGCACAAUGGGCGCAAGCCUGAUGCAGCCAUGCCGCGUUUAUGAAGAAGGCCUUCGGGUUGUAAAGUACUUUCAGCGGGGAGGCGUUACCCGCAGAAGAAGCACCGGCUAACUCCGUGCCAGCAGCCGCGGUAAUUC